GAUAGCUUAUGAUUGUCGUAUGGUGUCGUAUAUUGAAUGUUCUGGUUUUCCCCCUGGACAAGCUGAUGGCUCGUGAUUAUCCGCAGAUUUAUGAUGGUCCACCAAUGGAGAAUGCGGGAGUUUUCUUCCAGUGUCGAUCCAGGUGCUUCUGUCCUUUUAUAUGAAAGUAAAUCCUUUGAAAUGGUGAGCAGUUGAUUUUUCCUUUAUCUGGGAUGUGUGCUGGCAGCAGGGCAAGUCCAUGUAGAUAAAGAAAUUUUUUGAAAGCUCGACGCAGGCAUUCAAAGCGUUGUUGUUGCUGCCGGUAUGCAAGCGGCACAGUAUAUAUGGUGCUCUUAUAUAUUUUAUGUGACCUGGUUUGUUUGCACCUGGGUGUGGAUGGAGCAAAACAGCAAGAUAAUCUCUAUGUAGCAAAAAUUGGUUAAUCACCUGCACGUGUAUUUGGGUUAUAAGAGGUGGUGUAUUGUAUGAUCUGAUGGAUCUACUUCCUCCUACUUCUUCUAUUUUAUCAUUAUAAUUUAAUACGUUUAUGUGAAUAUCUUAUAAGUACUGUUCAGGUAAUUUUACUAUAAAUACCAUGACUUAAGUGUCAAUGUCGAAGUAGUGUGAUAUUUAUAUUAUCAUUUUCUUUUAUUAGAAACAAUAUUUAUUCAACACAAUUUGAAUCAAAUAUAAGUAAACAUUAAAGUGUUCUACCGAAAACGUCUCGUUUAAGGGAGGGGCACGUCAAAGAUAUUAUAAUACUGAAAUGGAACAUUCAAUAAAUAAUGGUUGGAGAUUUACUAUUAAAAUUGUUAAAUGAUUCAUAAAUCAAACAAUUAUUAUCAUCAUUAUUUACUUAGUUAUUAUUUAUUUAAUUUCUUACAUUUUUAAGUAAUUAAAUUUACCUAUUGGAACCGGUGUCUGCAAUGAUGGAUGAAGGUUUGGUCAUUAUAAACGUUGAAAACUGUAUAAAAUAAUUUUUAAAAUUAAAGUAAUAACUACUAAUUAUUUAUUAAUUUUAGUAUACUUAGAACUUAUGGGAUCAAUCAACUAUAUUCAUGAAUCAUAAUAAAUCUCCAAUAUUCUAUUUGACUAUAUCAUAUCCUUGACGUGAACCUCCAUCGGACAAGACUUUUUCGGUAAAUUUAAGAAAACACUCUCUGAAUCACACUUAAAGAUAAGAAUGUUAUUGUAUAAAAAAUUUAUGGUUUCAGGUGUCAAUACAUGUGUUUUUCUCAUUCCCUUUAUAACAUUUACUUUUAAAAUGUUUAAGUGUAGUAUCUUGUCAUAGAUUUUCAACGACAAUUACACUUGGGAGCAGCAGCAAUCUCUCUUUCUCUGCUUUCAGUCAUUAAUACCUGAAAAAGUGGACUUCUAUAUUCUGAAAGAGUUAAGACCGGAGGAUGAUACUUUAACUUCAUCGUACAUCUCAAGAGAUGUUCGGAUUCCAUCCGAGGAAAUCUUCCAGGCUUCAUAAAGUUGGGUUCACCGAUGUGCACGAAGUAUAAGCUUCAACGCAAAUCUUCUUUUUGUAUUGAUAAUCCUUGUGGAUUUAAAAAAAAACUACUCUUAGAAGUUGCCUGGAGCUUUUAACGCAACCUCUGUUUUCUUUUUCCUAAUUUUUAAGGGGAAAGAAGAAAAGAACGUGUGGAGAAUCAAGAGUAAGUUGCUUUAACUCACUUCUACUGUGUACAAAAGUGAUUUUGGAUGUGUGCAAUUGAGUUUGUAGUAUUUAAGUGAUGCUGAGAAAAAUGUUCCGAAGAAAUGCCAAAAAGAAAAGGGUGGGUCAUCUGAUUUUUUGUGGAGAGUUGCAAAUAAUUCAAAGAUGUAUUUUGUCAUAAGAUAUUCGCUGAAUCGCUGCUAAUGUUAUUGAAGUAAAUAAGAGUUAAUUAUUAUGUAGAGUCCAGAGCCGAAUUCAACCAGGGCCAUGAAAUUAGUUUGAUUUUACGGUAUGUUAGUAUUUUACUUGUUGAAAUUUCGUUUUAUUUGUAUGAAUAAAUUUACUUGCUUAA
rnacentral:lncRNA from 1 species